rnacentral:rRNA from 1 species
CGGGAAACCGGAGCUAAUACCGGAUAAUAUAUUGAACCGCAUGGUUCAAUAGUGAAAGACGGUUUUGCUGUCACUUAUAGAUGGAUCCGCGCCGCAUUAGCUAGUUGGUAAGGUGACGGCUUACCAAGGCAACGAUGCGUAGCCGACCUGAGAGGGUGAUCGGCCACACUGGAACUGAGACACGGUCCAG